UACGGGGGGGGCAAGCGUUGUUCGGAAUUACUGGGCGUAAAGGGCUCGUAGGCGGCCCACUAAGUCCGACGUGAAAUCCCCAGGCUUAACUUGGGAACUGCGUCGGAUACUGGUGGGCUUGAAUCCGGGAGAGGGAUGCGGAAUUCCAGGUGUAGCGGUGAAAUGCGUAGAUAUCAGGAGGAACACCGAUGGCGAAGGCAGGUCUCUGGGCUGACACUGACGCUCAUGCACGAAAGCGUGGGGAGCAAACAGG
rnacentral:rRNA from 1 species